AUUGAACGCUGGCGGCAGGCCUAACACAUGCAAGUCGAACGGUAACAGGAAGAAGCUUGCUUCUUUGCUGACGAGUGGCGAACGGGUGAGUAAUGUCUGGGAAACUGCCUGAUGGAGGGGGAUAACUACUGGAAACGGUAGCUAAUACCGCAUAACGUCGCAAGACCAAAGAGGGGGACCUUCGGGCCUCUUGCCAUCGGAUGUGCCCAGAUGGGAUUAGCUAGUAGGUGGGGUAACGGCUCACCUAGGCGACGAUCCCUAGCUGGUCUGAGAGGAUGACCAGCCACACUGGAACUGAGACACGGUCCAGACUCCUACGGGAGGCAGCAGUGGGGAAUAUUGCACAAUGGGCGCAAGCCUGAUGCAGCCAUGCCGCGUGUAUGAAGAAGGCCUUCGGGUUGUAAAGUACUUUCAGCGGGGAGGAAGGGAGUAAAGUUAAUACCUUUGCUCAUUGACGUUACCCGCAGAAGAAGCACCGGCUAACUCCGUG
rnacentral:rRNA from 1 species